AUGCAGGACCGUUCCUGCUACAAGCUCACACAGGAAGGGGAACGUCUUUUUCGCAUGCAAAAGUAUGAGAAAGGCAUCGACUUGUUGAAAAAAGCGUUGGAAGUAGGCACAGAUGAUUUUUCAUUACUCUCGGCUAUCUAUUGUCAGCUCGGAAAUGCACACACAAUGCUUAAAGAUUAUGAGCAAGCUCUCAAGUUCCAUACGUAUGACAUUCUUGUUGAAAGAUUGCUUGGAAACAAGGAGGGAGAAGCAAAGUCGUGUGCCAACUUGGGAAAUAUAUUCAAGAUGAAAGGCGCUUACAACGACGCGCUCACCUUCACAUUCAAACAGCUGGAUUUUGCCGAAGAGUUGGGCGAUAGACCUACAAUGAGACUUCUGAAUGAAAUCUAUGUCAUUUGAAAGGGGACCUGCAAACUAGGUUACCACAAAAAAUUUAGCGGCAGAAGAGCACGUUGAACUACCAUAAAAACCAUCUGAAAAGGAUCAAUAUUUAAUAGAGCUGUGAAAUUGCAUCCAAUGUUGAUUUUUGCGAACUUCUAGUGGUUUUCGGAAAGUUUACAGGUUCUCAAAUCUCGAGCUUAUUACAACAUUGCGACGAUUUAUGUGGAGCGAGGGCGAUGCACAAAACUGGAAGCUGCUGAAGAGAAAAAUGACGCCAAAAAUGCAGAAGCCACUUCGGAUUUUGAGAAUGCUGCCAAGUACUUUAUGCUAAAUCUGGAGAUGUCGGAAAAAUCGGAAGAUGCGCUGACGAUGGGGCGAUGCUACGGCAGCUUAGGAAAUACUUAUUAUUGCCUUGGAGACUAUGACCAAUCUAUCCACUUUCAUAAACUUAGACUUGAAUUAUCUCAACAAUACGGAGACCGAGCGUCGAUGCGUCGCGCUCACGCCAAUAUCGCAAAUUGUCACGCGUUGAAGUCGAACAUGCCGCUGGCUAUUCAGCAUUAUAAACUAGCUUACAACCUGGCCAUUGAGAUUGGCAACAAAACAGAGGAAGCUCAAAUGGCUUACUCGUUGGCCAACGCCCUCUACAUUGGUAAAGAAGUCCAGAAAGCAAUCACCUAUUUCCAACGUCAUCUUAAAAUUGCACGGAGUUUAGAAGACAUAUCGGGACAACUGCGAUCAUACUACUCACUUGCGCUGUCAUUCAACAACCUUUGUGAACGUCGCAAGGCACUUUAUUUUCUGGUCCUCGCAAAACGGAGUUCUCUUCAGGUGAACGACACCAGUGCGCUCACUGACAUUGAUAACUUGCUCAACGAAAUUCUGGAGGCCGGACAAGAAGACGUGCUUGUUGACGAUAUCGAGCUCAUAAUUGACGAGUCAGCCGACCCAGCACCUGCUGAUAUUGAGCAUCGCGAACUUCGUCUUACCUACUUUCAAAAACGCAAUAUUCACGAUAAACCAGUCAAUACGCCGGAGGAUCCGCUCGCCGAGGACCGCUACGAGAAGGAAGAGUUCUUUGAUAUGCUUGCAAAGCUGCAGUCGAAACGGAUGAACGAUCAACGUGUCGACGCGUCAGUUCUCAGUUCAAAUCUUGACUUUCGAGUUCGCCAAGUGGACACUGAGCCCGACAACUCAUCGACUGAUGGUUCUGAGGUACUGAUCGAUUUGCUUCUGAACGCUCAAGGACGAAGAAUGGAUGAUCAGCGGGCGCCAUUCUUGCCGGGGCUCAAUCCGAACGGACAGAUUAUUCUUCGCAGACUCAAUACAGAUCCCGGAAACGAGGAGCUAGAUGAACAUCUUGUCGAGUGGCUGAUGCGUGUUCAAGGCGAACGGCUUGACGAGCAACGUAGCGAGCUGCCACCUAUCAAACCAGAGGGUCAGGAAGAAGUUGACAAGAAAAAAGAAGAAGAUGUGACCGCAAUUGUGAUGCGCAUGCAAGCCGGUCGCCUCGAGGACCAAAGAGCACAUCUUCCAAACAUUCCAACCUCAAAGAAUUGA
rnacentral:misc_RNA from 1 species